rnacentral:rRNA from 1 species
UACGUAGGGUGCAAGCGUUGUCCGGAAUUAUUGGGCGUAAAGAGCUCGUAGGCGGUUCGUCGCGUCGGCUGUGAAAACCCGGAGCUCAACUCCGGGCCUGCAGUCGAUACGGGCAGACUAGAGGUAGGCAGGGGAGAGCGGAACUCCUGGUGUAGCGGUGGAAUGCGCAGAUAUCAGGAAGAACACCGGUGGCGAAGGCGGCUCUCUGGGCCUUACCUGACGCUGAGGAGCGAAAGCGUGGGUAGCGAACAGG